GAUGUGGUCCACCAUUCUUGGUGAAGCUUUCACUUGCUGAACGGCGGAGACGGCAAUAGAUCGGCUCAACGAUUCCAUCUUGUCUGUGGACGGCGGAGAUGGCAAGCGGCAAAAAUGGGUACUCUUUUUCCUUUGAAGUCCAGCUGAGAAAAUUGCUCCCAAUACCGUAAAAUCUCUCAUUUUUUUCACUUGAAUAAGUGAGAAAGAUCCUGUUGAAGUAUUGAGCCCAGAUGUUCUCACUGUCACUUUUUCCUCUAGUAGAGGUAGAAGCUUCUUUUUCCGAAAGAUGUGUGUUCUCAUUUACAUGGUAACUUUGAAUCUUCUUCUUCUUCCUUUUUCUGACGCUGAAAACCUUUUCGUUGAUCAGCAAAAGAGGAAAGUGAGCAUUUCUUUUGUCAGAAAGUGAUGGAAAGUCAUGAUCUUUGGCUUCCUAAGGCAAAUCUAAUUCACUUAUGACUCUGAUAUCAUCAAUGGUUUGAUGAUUGAAUAUGAAAUGAACAUCAAUAUCCUUGAUCACAAAUGACCCUCUGCUUUCUACCACCUCUGUUUCAACCGCAGCAGCAGAGAUGGUGGACCACAAGAAUGGUGGACUAUAUCUGUUUCAACCGCUUGCCGUGUGAAUGCUUUCGUCGGCAGUCCCUUUCGUCCAUCCCGCCGGCUGCGAAGCCAGCUUAUUGUAAGGAUUAAAGAUCCGGUCAAAUCCCGACAUUUUUGAUCAGAACAUCGAGCCAGUUGUCAGAAUACGUGAAGAAACCUUGUUCUUUCUUGGUGGGAAUGGUGCUGUUUCUCGGGAUAAAAACAAUCAUGACGCUGCCAGCGGUCUCCAGGCCGAGAGACAGGGGCGUGACACCCAGUAGCAACUAUUAGGAAAAAGUAGGCUGACCAGGCAGAAGGAAGAAGAAAAAGAUCAGACGACGUCACAUGAGCAUAGUUAGUUGAUCGUUGAGCCUAAACCAAACGGUGUCUUCUGAUGAAGUGGUUAAGCUACGGUUAGUGAAGUAGCCAACAACAUUG